UUUCCGUAGGUGAACCUGCGGAAGGAUCAUUAUCGAGUUUUGACCGGGUUGUAGCUGGCCUUCCGAGGCAUGUGCACGCCCUGCUCAUCCACUCUACACCUGUGCACUUACUGUGGGCUUCAGAUUGCGAGGCACGCUCUUUACCGGGCUUGCGGAGCAUAUCUGUGCCUGCGUUUAUCACAAACUCUAUAAAGUAACAGAAUGUGUAUUGCGAUGUAACACAUCUAUAUACAACUUUCAGCAACGGAUCUCUUGGCUCUCGCAUCGAUGAAGAACGCAGC
rnacentral:misc_RNA from 1 species